rnacentral:rRNA from 1 species
AUUGAACGCUGGCGGCAGGCCUAACACAUGCAAGUCGAGCGGAUGACGGGAGCUUGCUCCUUGAUUCAGCGGCGGACGGGUGAGUAAUGCCUAGGAAUCUGCCCGGUAGUGGGGGACAACGUUUCGAAAGGAACGCUAAUACCGCAUACGUCCUACGGGAGAGAGCAGGGGACCUUCGGGCCUUGCGCUAUCAGAUGAGCCUAGGUCGGAUUAGCUAGUUGGUGGGGUAAUGGCUCACCAAGGCGACGAUCCGUAACUGGUCUGAGAGGAAGAUCAGUCACACUGGAACUGAGACACGGUCCAGACUCCUACGGGAGGCAGCAGUGGGGAAUAUUGGACAAUGGGCGAAAGCCUGAUCCAGCCAUGCCGCGUGUGUGAAGAAGGUCUUCGGAUUGUAAAGCACUUUAAGUUGGGAGGAAGGGCAGUAAGCUAAUACCUUGCUGUUUUGACGUUACCGACAGAAUAAGCACUGGCUAACUCUGUGCCAGCCGCCGCGGUAA